GCCUCAAGCUCUAAGGAGCUGGAAGUAGCUCUUCAGUCUCUUUUCAGAGCAGGCUUGCUGUGUGAAAGCAGCUCUUCGCUUGAAGGCAUUGGAGAAGCAGAAAGCAAAGCAGGACCAAGUGGGCAAGUCUUCUAAGUCUGGGGUGGAUUACAAGAAGAAAACUCAUGUUAAGUCUCAAAUUUUGAGCUCAUGCUAAGCUCAUGCUAAAUUGCAGCAAAUUAAUGUGUGCUUGGAAAAGGAGGAUGCCAUCGACAUACCCCAUGAACCCUCUAGUCCUGAUACUACACCUCAGCCUAAUGCAUCUAAUGCUAACCUAAAGCCUCAGGGUGGAGUGGUUUUGCGCCCUUGUGCUCACCCCAAGGUUUUCCUAGAGGACCCGUGGAGCCAUGGAUGCUUGAGGUAGCAUACAUCAGCCGUUGGCACCCAGCAUUAAGGCACAAGACACCUCAGCUUUAUAUAUUUGAAGCCACAUGUUGCCUCUUCGGGUUCUCAUUUGUGUUAUCUUUUGGGCCAGUCGAAGGGCCCACUGCACUGCUGUUGGCAUGCAUUUGGGCUGUAGUGGCAUCACUGAAGUUGAUUGGCUCAGCUGGUGAGGGAUGCACUGAAGCUGACUCUUUCCUGUUCUGGAUGAGUACUUGGGAAGGACACACACCUCCACACAUUUUAAUUCUUCAUCUUGGGGGCAAUGAUUUGGGCCUCUUGAAGGGCAAAGCCUUGAUUUUGCAAGCAGUGGAGAACUUUUGGCCUGAGUUGUUACUUUGUUUGGUCUGAAUUGAUCCUUCACCAGGAAUGGAGAACUGAAUGGCAUCCUCGUUGCAUUAACAGGACAUGAAAGAAAGAGAAUCAGGAGGUUGGUAGGAGCUUGUAGUAAUCGGAGGUAUGGUAAUAACUCACCCUGAUAUUUCUCACGAUUAUGAAUCUUUGUACAGGGCAGAUGGCAUGCAUCUUUCAGACUCUGGGAAUGACCUGUUUCUCAGAGACUUGCAGCAGGGUCUUCAGAAAGUUUUGGGUUUGUGAGGAAAGGAGAGGGUAAACAGGUUCCUCCCCUUUGGUGGCAAGUGAUUGCAGGUCUGGGUAGGUAGGCUUAUCUAUCAGUCUUUGGCCAAAGGCACCAUUUUGUUGAUGGGAAACGCCAUGGAACAACCUCUUAGCGUUUUGUGACCUGGGGAGGUUGGGAAUCGAAUCCUUUGUUGGGUUUCUCAAGUCACUAGCUCAAAGUUUUGUGGCUUGGGGUGGUGAAUCAAGUGCCCCUCCCUCAACACAGGUUACUGUGUGGUUGGGAGGCAGCCAGGAAUUAAAUUCCUGACAACUUCAGCACCUCCCCAUUCACCCUGUUUUGGGAGGCAAGCCUCUCUUGGAGGCUGUUGCCUACAUGGGAGGAAUCCUCUCACUCUGGCUAGUUUACUAGUUAUUGCCUUGUCACAACUUUGUGUUGAAUUAAUAAAGUGUGGCCUUAGUUCAUCCA